GACGAACGCUGGCGGCGUGCUUAACACAUGCAAGUCGAACGAAGAGCGAUGGAAGCUUGCUUCUAUCAAUCUUAGUGGCGAACGGGUGAGUAACGCGUAAUCAACCUGCCCUUCAGAGGGGGACAACAGUUGGAAACAACUGCUAAUACCGCAUACGAUCUAAUCUCGGCAUCGAGGAUAGAUGAAAGGUGGCCUCUACAUGUAAGCUAUCACUGAAGGAGGGGAUUGCGUCUGAUUAGCUAGUUGGAGGGGUAACGGCCCACCAAGGCGAUGAUCAGUAGCCGGUCUGAGAGGAUGAACGGCCACAUUGGGACUGAGACACGGCCCAGACUCCUACGGGAGGCAGCAGUGGGGAAUCUUCCGCAAUGGACGAAAGUCUGACGGAGCAACGCCGCGUGAGUGAUGACGGCCUUCGGGUUGUAAAGCUCUGUUAAUCGGGACGAAAGGCCUUCUUGCGAAAAGUGAGAAGGAUUGACGGUACCGGAAUAGAAAGCCACGGCUAACUACGUG
rnacentral:rRNA from 1 species